CUAAGGGUCCGUAGCCGGUUUGAUCAGUCUUCCGGGAAAUCUGACAGCUCAACUGUUAGGCUUCUGGGGGAUACUGUCAGACUUGGAACCGGGAGAGGUAAGAGGUACUACAGGGGUAGGAGUGAAAUCUUGUAAUCCUUGUGGGACCACCAGUGGCGAAGGCGUCUUACCAGAACGGGUUCGACGGUGAGGGACGAAAGCUGGGGGCACGAACCGGAUUAGAUACCCGGGUAGUCCCAGCCGUAAACGAUGCUCGCUAGGUGUCUGGGAUGGUGCGACCGUUUCAGGUGCCGCAGGGAAGCCGUGAAGCGAGCCACCUGGGAAGUACGGCCGCAAGGCUGAAACUUAAAGGAAUUGGCGGGGGAGCACUACAACGGGUGGAGCCUGCGGUUUAAUUGGACUCAACGCCGGAAAACUCACCUGGGGCGACAGCAAUAUGUAGGUCAGGCUGAAGGUCUUACCUGAAUCGCUGAGAGGA
rnacentral:rRNA from 1 species